UACAGAGGUCUCAAGCGUUGUUCGGAUUCAUUGGGCGUAAAGGGUGCGUAGGUGGCGCGCUAAGUCGGGUGUGAAAUUUCGGAGCUUAACUCCGAAACUGCAUUCGAUACUGGCGUGCUUGAGGACUGGAGAGGAGACUGGAAUUCAUGGUGUAGCAGUGAAAUGCGUAGAGAUCAUGAGGAAGACCAGUGGCGAGGGCGGGUCUCUGGACAGUUCCUGACACUGAGGCACGAAGGCCAGGGGAGCAAACGGG
rnacentral:rRNA from 1 species